CAACUGUGUCCUGCCUCCCCACCCCUAUAUUUGCCAAUCCUGCCCCAGAAACCCUGGGGACAUGGGAGGAGGAUGUCCCUGGAGGUCCGCUUCCUCCUCUCUAAGGGAACCCAAGCCUCCCGCCAGAGUCUGUCAUUAUCCACCUGGACCCGAAAUAGCCGGGGAGUAGCAGCCUGUGUCUCUCUGGAGUUCAAAGCAUGAUCCUGUAACUACCUCAUCUCCAGCUACCAAAUCUACUGGACAACUCAGGGACCAGAGAGGUUAAGCAAUUUGCCCCAGGACACCCAGCACCUUGGCUAGUGCCUAUUCCCAGGUGUCAGCCCACGCCCCUGCAGGAUGACAGUGAUGUGGUAGCGGGUCUUCCUGGCAGAGGUUCGCUCAGACACCUCCUCACCCCGACUGCCCUCCUUGCACCGGAGAAGCAGAGCUGUCCUAGGGGAGGUGGCCAGGGCCAUGAGAGCUGGGCCAAAGGGGCAGAGCUCCGGGAAGACCCUUCCCCACUCAACUCAUGCCUCCCAUUCCACGGUGAGGAAUGAGAUCCAGAGAAGACACGGACAUGAAUAAAGUCACACACAAGGGCCCAACUCUCAGGUGCAGCCUUUCAUUCACCAGGGGCUGAACACCUCAAGAGACAGAAGAGGACAAUGAUUCCUGUGGGGGCCUGGAGCGAGGCACCCCGGGCUUGAAUCCUAGCUCUGCAAUUCCUAGCUGCAGUACCUCUUGCAUCUCAGUUUCCCCAUGUGUAAAAUUGGCAUGAUAAUAACAGUACCCGCUUCCUGGGAGUGCUGUGAAGAUUUCAUGAGAUAAUCUAUGCAGAGCACCGGCACAUAACGAGUACUCAAUUACAUGUGAGUAAUUACUAAUGGUAUUCAGGACCACAGAGAGACACACGGCUGCUUGAGCCAACUCCAAGUGGAGGACACCCCGUGCAGCCCAAUCCAUGGCUCAGACGGGAAAACUGUGGCCAGAAGGUUAAGUCACUGGCCCAGCAUCACCCCUGGGGGGUCCAUGCCAGGAAGUGGGUUAAAAGGACAAAAGAUGGGAGGGAGGUCAAGCUAAAGCAGGAAGUGUGGAAAAGGGGGUCCUGGGAACAGGCGGAGACCCUACAUGCCUCCCUGGGGCCCGGCAUUAGGAAGCCCAUGUUUCCUGAGCAUCUAGACCCCAUGCUGCAUGUUCUACAUCCAUUACCUCCUGUCUCACAGCAGCCCUGAGAGGCAUUAUUGUUCCCAUUUUGCAGAUGGAGAAACUGAGGUUCAGAGGUGAGGAGUGAUCUGCCCUGGUUCACCCAGUGAAUAAGUGACAAAGGGAGGAUUAGAGAACCCCAGUUGCCUGACUUAUGAGUCAAGGUUCUCAGGGCCUGCCCCUCCCCCACCAACCCCUUCCUGGCCUCCCCUUUGCCUUCUCUCCUACCUUGAGGCUGACAUUGUUAGUGCUGCCCUGGCCUUGGGCCAGGUCAGGGCAACUCUGGCCACCCCAGGGCCUGAAAAGGAAGCACAGGGAGAAGGGAGUGAGGUAGCCUUCUCCUCUCCCACCCCAAGGCUUGACCCAGCAGCCUCUCUCACUUCUCUCAGAGCCCACAGCCUGGAUGAGCUCCUGAAAUCUGGGGAAAGGGGAAGCUUGUACAGCAGCCUCCUCUCUGCUCCCUUCCUCAACUGUCCACUCCACCCCCAGAGACAGAGAAAGAGGGCUGGGCUUGGAGAAAAGUGGGGACUAGGCCUGUAUCAGGGCCAGAAUACAGAAAAGCGACAGUGUCCUGUAAUUCAAAAGCUCGCCAUUUGCUGAAGCACUCCCUAUGCCAGGCUUAGCACUGCGUAUUGUGCCUACAUGAUCUCCCUUAAGCCUCACAAUAACCCUAAGAGGUGGAUAUUAGUGCCCCAUUUUUCAGGUAAGGAAACGGAGGCCAGAGAGGUGAAGCCUAGAAUCACAUGACUAAUGAGCCUUGGGAGUAAGACACUAGGACCAUCCUACUCCGAAGGCUGGUUGGACAUCACCACAUGAAUGGGGGGCAAGAUGAGGAUGUGCCUUGGCUGCUGGCUGCCUCCUCCAUGCACUCUGACCCCCACCCCGGGAAACUAGCAGGAAUCGGAGGCUUGUGCCUCAGUCCCAUUCUCACAACUGUGAGAACUGAAUCCAAGUGCAUACAUGGGAUGUGUCAUCAUGCUACUGCAGGAGCCUCCGCAGUCCCUCCCCUGCCCUCCACACCGCUGAAUCACCCACGCCCCAACCCCACCUCCUCUCAAGUGGGGAAAGGGAGGGGCAGAGCCACCUGGGCCUAUAGGGCAGGUUUCUGCCAGGCAGGGUAAAGGGAGAGGGCGUGUCUUCCAGCGGGGUAGGGCAUGGCACUAGCAGGGUGUGGGCACCACCCCCCCAGCUCACUCAGGCUUCCCAGCAUAGGGUGCUAGGCCCUCCCUGCCCCUCCCCUCUCUCUUUGGGGUGAGAGAGCAGUACAAACCCUUCCCCUCACUCUGCCUCCACCACGCCCCCAUUCCUCCCAAGGUGAGCUGAAAACAGUUGUGUCAUGAUAAGAUCAGAACAAAUUGCUGGGUAACUGAACUGUACAGAUACACAAACACCCUACCCUCUUCUGGGAUAUAGGCCCAGGAACUACUGGGGUCCUCGAUUCCAGCUCCUAGCCAUACACAGCCCCUUUUUCCUCCCAUUCAAACAUCAGCUGCCAGCAAAGGGGCUCGGAGAGAAGUCAUUUGUUCCGAGUCACAUGGCCAGUGGCAGCGAGGCUAGGACAGACUCUGGCCCCCUGGCUUGCAGGCCUUCAGUCUCUCAAGGCAACAGAGCAGCCGGGGCUUCAGGAUGUGAGCUCUGGAGUCAGACUGCCCAAGCUUGUCCUCCAGCCCCGCCACUCCCCAGUCGUGUGGUGGACAGGGCGCUUUGCCUCUCUGAACCUCCAUUUCCACGUCUGAAUCACACUGAACACCUGUCUCAUGGAGCUGCUGUAAGGAUUAAAUGAGAUCAUUCAAGUGAGGCACUAAGCAAGUGGCAAAGAGAGGCUGAUUGCUAUUGCGACCUGGGAUGACAGGGAAAACCUCGCCAUGGCAACAAGGGCAAGUGCAGUGCCGCCCAAGACAACUCAGGAGCUGGUCACACUCCUAACAGAGGCUCAGGAAGACCAGAGGGAACUGGCCUGUUAUGUGGGAAUCAAAGUCCACACAGGCGGAAGGAGUCAUGCAUCGCCUUUACUCUCCUCCGUAAAGAAAUUGUCUGCAGGCGGCUAGAUGGGAGGGAGGUCAAGCUAAAGCAGCCUGACUUAAGGAAAUUGCAAAAGGUGUUUUAAAGUUUCCAAAGAGCACAGGGACUUUAUAAAGGCCGUCUUCGCAUUUACACAUCCAAAAUCGACACAUUUUUAUGCUCCGAGACACUCACAUCUCACAUACGCGUAUUUUAAUAUCUACUAC